UAAAGUUUAUCUCCAGGCUGGGGGAUGUGAGAACUCCUUAUCAGCUGCCUCAGUAGAGAAAGUACUGCUCUAACCAGGAGGCACAGCAGCUGCACCUACUCUCCCGGCCCAGCCCCUCACCCCAGGUAACUGCCCUACCCAGCCCUCAGCAAGGCUCCAUGGAGGCCAAAGGAGCAGAGGCAGGACCUGCGGCACUUAGAGGCAUGAUUCUAUUACAUUCUCGUUAAGUCUUUGUGGUCUUUCGCCACUCUCCCCUGCCAGACUAGAGUCGGGCCACAGAAAUGAGACUCUCCAAGGCCUCAGCAACCUCCCUUCAACUCACAGUGAUUGACUGCCUAAUUUCUGCGCAAGCAAGUCAUCCACGGUGCUUUCAGUUGCUUGCUUGGAAAAUGUAAGAAGCAAAUGAUACUGAAGAGAAGCCAUUAUGAUUAUUGCUAUUAUUCUUUUGAGACAAGAUUUCAGUGGAGUCCCUGUGGCCACAAACACAACAGUUUCCUGCCACUGCCUCUCAAGUGCUGGGACCACAGGCUCCUGAGAAAAUUGAGUCAAAGAAACUGAAAUUUUCCUAGGAUUCUCGCCCCAGGAGAAGGAAAAAGGUGAGACUCUAAUGCCAAAGGGAAGCUUGAAAUUCACAUAUUUCUGU